AGUGGCGGACGGGUGAGUAACGCGUGGGUAACCUGCCUUAUACAGGGGGAUAACAGUUGGAAACGACUGCUAAUACCGCAUAAGCGCACAGUGCCGCAUGGCACAGUGUGAAAAACUCCGGUGGUAUAAGAUGGACUCGCGUCUGAUUAGCUAGUUGGUGAGGUAACGGCUCACCAAGGCGACGAUCAGUAGCCGGCUUGAGAGAGUGAUCGGCCACAUUGGGACUGAGACACGGCCCAAACUCCUACGGGAGGCAGCAGUGGGGAAUAUUGCACAAUGGGGGAAACCCUGAUGCAGCAACGCCGCGUGAGUGAAGAAGUAUUUCGGUAUGUAAAGCUCUAUCAGCAGGGAAGAUAAUGACGGUACCUGACUAAGAAGCCCCGGCUAACUACGUGCCAGCAGCCGCGGUAAUACGUAGGGGGCAAGCGUUAUCCGGAUUUACUGGGUGUAAAGGGAGCGUAGGCGGCUUGGCAAGUCUGAUGUGAAAGCCCAGGGCUCAACCCUGGGACUGCAUUGGAAACUGUCAGGCUAGAGUGCAGGAGAGGUAAGUGGAAUUCCUAGUGUAGCGGCGAAAUGCGUAGAUAUUAGGAGGAACACCAGUGGCGAAGGCGGCUUACUGGACUGUAACUGACGCUGAGGCUCGAAAGCGUGGGGAGCAAACAGGAUUAGAUACCCUGGUAGUCCACGCUGUAAACGAUGAAUACUAGGUGU
rnacentral:rRNA from 1 species